UCCUCAGAGCCACAAGCUGAGAGACUCGAGCCGGUUCUUCUCAUUCGACAUGCCGUCUCGUUUCAUUGUUUCCGAAACCAAAAAUGUACCUCGUCUUCCUUCGCAUUGCCUUUGGAUCUGUUCUGGUGUCAGGUUCUCGUCUCAGUGAGCAGGUACACCAGACUCCAGCUGAGAUGUACCACAAACCCAAAGAGAACGCCACCAUCAGCUGCUCACACAGCAUUCAGUACUACGAUAAGAUCCUCUGGUACAAACAAGAAAGCGAUAAACAACUGCAGUUCCUGGGACACAUGUUUCAAACCCACAGCAACCCAGAGGGAGGACUGGGUGUGAAGCUGGACGGGAGUGCAGAUGAAAACCAAAGCUGCACACUAACAAUUGAAGGACUCGGCCUGAACAGCAGUGCCGUGUACUUCUGUGCCGCCAGCCAACACAGUGCUUCACAUCACUGCACCUCGGCACAAAAACCUCCUCAUCACACAUUCUUUCAUCUCUGGAUCUGUUAUCACGGCCCUGUGCACCUGUGUUCCUUCCUCUCAGAAGGUGGCAAUCAAGUGAAGAGUUUGAGCCAUCACAUGCCAGAAUAG